AAAUGGUUGAGGCCAAAUCUGUAAACGGGAGGAACGGGGAUCCCCGGGGAAGGAAUCCGGGCUGAAUUUGAAUCCCUCAGGAGUCAGAGGGACUUAGGAACAGAGCAGGUGGUAGAGAAGACAGUUGGAAGGGAGCAGGAAAAGAGUCUUGGAUUUCAACCGUGAGUGCGCCCAGCUGGAAGCUCAAAGAAAGUCCAGUCUGAAUCUGAAUAAGCCCCAAAUUUAACCACAAGCUUGGAGGAAUACAGAAGACCCAGGAGCAUGUUAAAUCACCCCUUCAAGAUGUUUGGCAUUUUCCAUAAUAAACAAUUGUUUUUGAAAGCCCACUCUGGACAGGGAAAAUGGAAUAUUAUCUUCCUCUUUACAUUCCUGCUACAGCAAUCCUAACCUUCCUGGAGGCAAACGGAUGCUCAGAAACUGCACACAGGAUUGUAAUAGAGAAAAGCAACUGACAUAUUUCCAAAAAUAUUAUCCCCAUUUCAGAAAAUUUAUUUUUGGUGGAAAAUGCCAAGUUUCAUCUUAUGUGUGUUGACAUUGAGAUUCCCAGUCCCAGCAGGAGUUGAAAAUGCACGACUCCUGCCUGGGAGACAUAUCAGGGCUGACACUGUAGCUGACAUCACCAGUAGAAAAAGUAUGGGCAGAAAAGGAAAAGACCAGGACUUGGGUAGAGUUUUUCUUCCUUCCUUCCUUCCUUCCUUCCUUCCUUCCUUCCUUCCCUCAUUGAAAAAUAUAUGAGAUAAGUACGUAUGAGGUAUUGGAACCUGGGGGUGGAAAGUGAGGUUUAUUGAGGAAGAAAGGCACUUCAACAAAGAUGUGAAAGCAUUAAGUUCUGUAAUCAAGGUACACAAAAGAUGUAGUGGAUACACAGAAGACCUUUUCAGUUUGUCUGAAGGACAAAUGGUCAUGUUUCAGAAACCAGAGCAAAAAGUGAAGCUGAGACCAGUAGCCAUGUCUUAGUUCUGGAUAAUUAAGAUGUUUUUCUUCCUGGUGAAAGGAACGUUCUUUUUCUGCUAACUUCCUUCCUUGCUGCCUCCUGCUUUUGAAUACAGUAUGAGAGGAUUAUAUUCGGAGCAACUGCAGCUAUCUUGUGACUAGUAGCAAACAAGCGUGAGAACAAAAUAUCAAUAUAUUGAAGAGGCUUGAAAGUGCCUGGGUCCUUGAUGACAUUGCUGAACUGCUAAGCAAACCCUAAACAGUCUACCUCUGGACUUGUUGAGUAAAUAAUAAAUGUUAUUAUAGUGAA